rnacentral:sRNA from 1 species
GUGAUUGUUAGGUUCUUUCCUCCCAGAAAUCCUAACGCUUGAUGCAACAACCUCCUCCCUGUUGCAUUUACAAUCAAGGCCCAACGCACCUCCUCCCGCGUUGGGCCUUUUGU